rnacentral:piRNA from 1 species
AGGAAUCAGAAACCAGAAGUCAGGAA